GUAGGUCAAGUAUACCAACAUGAUGCAUAACAUGUUUUGUCCGGACGGCAAACAAAAGGUCAAACUACUUUGAAGCAAACGUGCUUUGAACAUUUUCUCGUACAAAAUAUCCAACAUAUUUGGUCUGUGCGUUCGGAUACGCACAAGAGAAUAAUGGACAAUAAAAAACAAGGAGGAAACAACAUGGAGCCAAGUGUAGAUCAACGAGAAAAAAACAUGGAGUCAAACGAAGAACAACAAGAAAACGACAUGGAUCCAGACGAGGAAGGCGACGCCACUUACGUACCAUACUUCGACAUUGGUUACAUGAACACCUUCAUUCAAUAUCACAUAGAUCUAACCGCUAAGCGAAUUGAGACGGUCAACGAAGUCAAAGCUCAAUUGCUCCAGGAGAG